GCAUACAGCCAUAUCACGUUGAAAGCACCGGUUCUCGUCCGAUCACCGAAGUUAAGCAACAUCGAGCCUAGUUAGUACUUAGAUGAGUGACCGCUUGGGAAACCUAGGUGCUGUAAGCA
rnacentral:rRNA from 1 species